UUGAAUAAACUUGGUUGGGUUGUGCUGGCUUUUUGGAGCAUGUGCACGCCUAGCGCCAUUUUUACCACCUGUGCACCUUUUGUAGAUUUGAAACAACUCUCGAGGAAACUCGGUUUGAGGAAUGCUGUGUGCAAACAUGGCUUUCCUUGUGUUUCAAGUCUAUGUUUUUAUUAUACCCCAUAAGAAUGUAAUAGAAUGUUAUUAAUGGGCUUUAUGCCUUUAAAUUAAUA
rnacentral:misc_RNA from 1 species